UCCACGCCCUAAACGAUGCACACUAGUUGUUGCUAUGCUAGACAUAGCAGUAAUGCAGUUAACACAGUAAGUGUGCCGCCUGGGGAGUACGGUCGCAAGAUUAAAACUCAAAGGAAUAGACGGGGACCCGCACAAGCGGUGGAGCAUGUGGUUUAAUUCGACGAUACGCGAAGAACCUUACCUGGCCUUGACAUAGAAAGAACUUUCCAGAGACGGAUUGGUGCUAGUUUAC
rnacentral:rRNA from 1 species